GAUGAACGCUGGCGGCGUGCUUAACACAUGCAAGUCGAACGGUGAAGGCGGAGCUUGCUCUGCUGGAUCAGUGGCGAACGGGUGAGUAACACGUGAGCAAUCUGCCCCUGACUCUGGGAUAAGCGCUGGAAACGGCGUCUAAUACUGGAUACGAGCUGCGAAGGCAUCUUCAGCAGCUGGAAAGAACUUCGGUCAGGGAUGAGCUCGCGGCCCAUCAGCUUGUUGGUGAGGUAACGGCCCACCAAGGCGUCGACGGGUAGCCGGCCUGAGAGGGUGACCGGCCACACUGGGACUGAGACACGGCCCAGACUCCUACGGGAGGCAGCAGUGGGGAAUAUUGCACCAUGGGCGAAAGCCUGAUGCAGCAACGCCGCGUGAGGGACGACGGCCUUCGGGUUGUAAACCUCUUUUAGCAGGGAAGAAGCGAAAGUGACGGUACCUGCAGAAAAAGCGCCGGCUAACUACGUG
rnacentral:rRNA from 1 species